AGAGGGUAUUUUUGACAUUAAAAUAAAUGUUCAUAAGGUCAACGCAUUUGAGGCUUCUCCGCUCACACUUCGGUUGUGUCUGAGGUCCAUCGGAGAGAAAAGCGUUAGAUCCCAAUUAACGAAAUGGAAGGUAACGAAGUAGCUUCUUGUAGUUCGAGUCUGUGGUUUGCUCCCAAUCCAAGCAAGAGAUGGGGCGAGUUAUUUUUUCUUCUCUACACUCCAUUUUGGCUCACUCUCUGCCUUGGAAUUGUCGUUCCGUACAAGCUCUACGAGAGCUUUACGGAAUUGGAGUAUCUGCUUUUGGGACUGGUUUCAGCGGUUCCUUCUUUCUUGAUACCUUUUUCUCCUUGAGGCUUCAUCACAGCAUCAUAAUAAUACGAAGAUGAUAGCAGCAUCUGUUGGAAGGAUCGGUACUGGGUUAAGGCAAGUAUUCUUGUAGAGCAAAUUAUUGACUGCUUGACUGCAAGCUUGUAGGGCUAAUCCAACCAUGGAAAUGUGAAUAAUAUUUCAUUAUUUAGAUCCAUGAGAUAUUAUGAAUUUAAAUAUGUGAAAAGUAAGUAUAGUUAAAGAAAACAGUGAAAUCAAACAUCCUUAUUUAAAAAGAAAGAGGAAUUCCUGAUUAUGUGACCCAAA